rnacentral:rRNA from 1 species
AGAGUUUGAUCCUGGCUCAGGACGAACGCUGGCGGCGUGCCUAACACAUGCAAGUCGAGCGGAGAGCAGUUGAAAGUUUACUGGAUGCUGUUUCUUAGCGGCGGACGGGUGAGUAACACGUGGGCAACCUGCCCUUGAGCGGGGGAUAACACCGGGAAAUCGGUGCUAAUACCGCAUAACAUACAAGUACCGCAUGGUGCGAGUAUCAAAGGAGAAAUCCACUCAAGGAUGGGCCCGCGGCUGAUUAGCUAGUUGGUAAGGUAAAGGCUUACCAAGGCGACGAUCAGUAGCCGACCUGAGAGGGUGACCGGCCACACUGGAACUGAGACACGGUCCAGACUCCUACGGGAGGCAGCAGUGGGGAAUAUUGCGCAAUGGGGGGAACCCUGACGCAGCAACGCCGCGUGGAGGAAGAAGGUCUUCGGAUUGUAAACUCCUGUCUUCUGGGACGAUAAUGACGGUACCAGAGGAGGAAGCCACGGCUAACUACGUGCCAGCAGCCGCGGUAAUACGUAGGUGGCGAGCGUUGUCCGGAAUUACUGGGCGUAAAGAGCGCGUAGGCGGUUUUUUAAGUCAGAUGUGAAAAUCCAGGGCUUAACUCUGGGCGUGCAUUUGAAACUGGGGAACUAGAGUGCAGGAGAGGUAAGUGGAAUUCCUAGUGUAGCGGUGAAAUGCGUAGAUAUUAGGAGGAACACCAGUGGCGAAAGCGACUUACUGGACUGUAACUGACGCUGAGGCGCGAAAGCGUGGGUAGCGAACAGGAUUAGAUACCCUG